GUUUUUUCAGUAUUAGUGUAUUACUGCUUUCCACGCAUGAGGAUUAAAUUUUUUAAAAAAAACA
rnacentral:tRNA from 1 species